CACAAGAUCUGAACACACUUCAUGUUUUGUGCAGAACUGGAUAAAUUUGCCAUAAAAGUCAUCCAGUCUCAAAAUAGCAUCUAGAAGCAUACAUGGUGUUACAUACGGCUACAUAUACAAAUUGAGUUGUUUGGAGGAGUCGACCUACUCCAUGCAGCUUUGACUGAAGACUCACACCAGUGACAACACAAAUACCAAUGGCCAUAUGAUGGAGAAACUUUAUGCUUUAUUAUAC